rnacentral:rRNA from 1 species
CGAAACUUUCUUACACCGAAUGCUUGCAUUCACCGUAAGAAGUUGAGUGGCGGACGGGUGAGUAACACGUGGGUAACCUGCCUAAAAGAAGGGGAUAACACUUGGAAACAGGUGCUAAUACCGUAUAUCUCUAAGGAUCGCAUGAUCCUUAGAUGAAAGAUGGUUCUGCUAUCGCUUUUAGAUGGACCCGCGGCGUAUUAACUAGUUGGUGGGGUAACAGCCUACCAAGGUGAUGAUACGUAGCCGAACUGAGAGGUUGAUCGGCCACAUUGGGACUGAGACACGGCCCAAACUCCUACGGGAGGCAGCAGUAGGGAAUCUUCCACAAUGGACGCAAGUCUGAUGGAGCAACGCCGCGUGAGUGAAGAAGGUCUUCGGAUCGUAAAACUCUGUUGUUAGAGAAGAACACGAGUGAGAGUAACUGUUCAUUCGAUGACGGUAUCUAACCAGCAAGCCACGGCUAACUACGUGCCAGCAGCCGCGGUAAUACGUAGGUGGCAAGCGUUGUCCGGAUUUAUUGGGCGUAAAGGGAACGCAGGCGGUCUUUUAAGUCUGAUGUGAAAGCCUUCGGCUUAACCGGAGUAGUGCAUUGGAAACUGGAAGACUUGAGUGCAGAAGAGGAGAGUGGACUCCAUGUGUAGCGGUGAAAUGCGUAGAUAUAUGGAAGAACACCAGUGGCGAAAGCGGCUC